GGAGCGGUAGUUCAGUUGGUUAGAACGCCUCCCUGUCACGGAGGAGGUCGCGGGUUCGAGUCCCGUCCGUUCCGCCA
rnacentral:tRNA from 1 species